rnacentral:rRNA from 1 species
GUUCUCCAAUCAAGUAGGUCUACCCGCUGAACUUAAGCAUAUCAAUAAGCGGAGGAAAAGAAACUAACAAGGAUUCCCCUAGUAACGGCGAGUGAAGUGGGAAAAGCUCAAAUUUGUAAUCUGGCUCUUUUAGAGUCCGAGUUGUAGUCUAGAGAAGUGAUAUCCGCGUCGGACCUUAAACAAGGCUGUUGGAAUGCAGCGUCGUAGAGGGUGAGAAUCCCGUACAUGUUGAGGACUCCCGUAUGCAUUGUGAUACAUUUUCAAAGAGUCGAGUUGUUUGGGAAUGCAGCUCAAAUUGGGUGGUAAAUUCCAUCUAAAGCUAAAUAUUGGCGAGAGACCGAUAGCGAACAAGUACC